rnacentral:rRNA from 1 species
AGUAGGAUAAGCUAACCGUACUGUUGGUUAUGUACGGCUAAGCAUUGAGGCAGUCUAAAUAGGCAAAUCCGUUUGGACAAUGCUAGGAUGUGAUGGGGAAGCCCUCCGGGGCGAAGUAGCUGAUUUCACACUGUCAAGAAAAGCUUCUAUCGAGUUUAAAGGCGCCCGUACCGUAAACCGACACAGGUGGGUGAGGAGAGUAUCCUAAGGCCAGCGAGAGAACUAUUGUUAAGGAACUCGGCAAAAUGACCCCGUAACUUAGGGAGAAGGGGUGCCUGUCUAUGACAGGCCGCAGAGAAUAGGCCCAAGCGACUGUUUACCAAAAACACAGGUUUCUGCUAAGUCGCAAGACGAUGUAUAGGAGCUGACGCCUGCCCGGUGCUGGAAGGUUAAGGGGAUCUGUUAGAGCAAUCGAAGCAGUGAACUUAAGCCCCAGUAAACGGCGGCCGUAACAAUAACGGUCCUAAGGUAGCGAAAUUCCUUGUCGGGUAAGUUCCGACCCGCACGAAAGGCGUAACGAUUUGGGCACUGUCUCAACAAUAGACUCGGUGAUAUUGUAAUCCCGGUGAAGAUGCCGGGUACCUGCGACAGGACGGAAAGACCCCAUGGAGCUUUACUGUAGCUUGACGUUGGGUCUUGGUACUACAUGUACAGGAUAGGUGGGAGACUAUGAAGCAUGGACGCCAGUCUGUGUGGAGUCAUCCUUGGGAUACCACCCUUGUAGUACUGGGAUCCUAACCAUAGGCCUUGAAUCAGGUCUUGGAACACCGUCAGGUGGGCAGUUUGACUGGGGCGGUCGCCUCCUAAAAAGUAACGGAGGCGCUCAAAGGUUUCCUCAGCACGGUCGGAAAUCGUGCGAAGAGUGUAAAGGCAAAAGGAAGCUUGAUUGCAAGACAUACAGGUCGAGCAAGGACGAAAGUCGGACUUAGUGAUCCGGUGGUACCGCAUGGAAGGGCCAUCGCUCAACGGAUAAAAGCUACCCUGGGGAUAACAGGCUUAUCUCCCCCAAGAGUCCACAUCGACGGGGAGGUUUGGCACCUCGAUGUCGGCUCAUCACAUCCUGGGGCUGUAGUAGGUCCCAAGGGUUGGGCUGUUCGCCCAUUAAAGUGGUACGCGAGCUGGGUUCAGAACGUCGUGAGACAGUUCGGUCCCUAUCCGUCGCAGGCGUUGGAAAUUUGAGAAGACCUGUCCUUAGUACGAGAGGACCGGGAUGGACGUACCUCUGGUGUACCAGUUGUUCUGCCAAGGGCAUGGCUGGGUAGCUAUGUACGGAAUGGAUAAGCGCUGAAAGCAUCUAAGCGCGAAGCCAACUUCAAGAUAAGAUUUCCCACCGUAAGGGUAAGACCCCAGGAAGACUACCUGGUUGAUAGGUCGAAGGUGUA